GCUGUAGUCAUUCUGUGAGGGGAACUCCAGGAGACUGGAUCCAACUCGCAACCAGCUACAGUGAAGUUAUGAUAUGAGAAGCACCGACUUGGCACAAGACUUGGGAAAGGCAAUGAGGCAGUAGGCAAGCUUUACGGGAUGACACUUACCUUGAGGGAGCAAGGACAAGUUGUGACCUUCCCAGUCCUCUCUCCAUUUGCAGAUCAGCAAGCUUCUGUCAGCAGGGAGGGGUGGACAAUGAAACUCUUUGGGUUCAGCUUGAUUGUUUUUUGAGACAGGUGUUGCAAGGGACUGCCAAAAAGAUUGAGCUGCAGAAGAAACAGUCACCUGGGGUGUGUUUCCAUGUUGCCUGGAAGCUGCACAAGAGGCCAAGUCAAAACAUGCAGAAUUCCAGUUGCCCAUGAUGUCACAGGCUGAGGCCCACGCUCCAGAGACACUGUGGACUGACUGGCACCUAUGAGCUGACCUAAUAAUGACUGCACCAUUACAGCUCCGAUUCUACAGAACAAUACAUACCCAGUUCUUACCUA